AAAGCAUUGAAUUUCUCGAUUCUAAACUAAUCCAAUUGUGUUUUAUACAUAAUAUCAAUCUUUGCUCAUUGUAUAUAGUUACAACCCUCAAAAGUAUUAUCACUAUAUGCUGUGAUAUCGAAAACGAUUAAAACCAUGGCCGAAACAUAUUAUGACUCUAAGCAAUUAACCUCUCGAGUCCAACACUAGAGAAUCGAAAACCUCGAAUUGCUGCUUUAAGCGACGGCGACAGGUUGCUACUUUGACGGCUCGAGAUUCUUCUUAUUUUUUGAUUUAUCGUCGUCGCCGAGAAAAUCUUCCAUGGUGUAAAUGACGUGAUGUAAAGUGAGCAGCUAGGGCACCGAGCGAUUUCCUCGCCGAGGCGGAGAUCCUCCUUGGUGAUUUGAAAUAGGUCGCCGCACGGGCAGGGGUAAGUGUAUGCUUGAAGCCCCUCGUUCCAUUCCAUGUCCUCUAUGUCCUCUAUUUCCACAUCGUCGUACGACAUCGUUUCCGAGCCCUUUGGUUUCUUUCGUCGAACUCGCAAUGAAUUCCGCCGUGUUUCUGUAAAGAUGUUGAUCAGAAAAGGCCAAGGGAAGAAGAUGAGUCGGCUUUCAGAUUUUACAGACGGGUCGAGAGGAACCGGAUCCGAUUGCAUUUGUGCAUACACCGUAUGGGUUUCGUCAUGGUGCCAGUUUUGUAAAGAUGGGGCUUCGGCUUUUUGAAAUUUGUAAUUGUGCCCUCAAUUGUUGGAAAAUUUCUAUUUUCUUCCGUUUUUCUAUAUUUUUUGGGGAAAUGACAAGUUAUUUUGCCAAAUUUUAAUGUAUAAAAAUUUAUUUUUUUAUUUUAAAU
rnacentral:misc_RNA from 1 species